rnacentral:rRNA from 1 species
GCAUAUCAAUAAGCGGAGGAAAAGAAACUAACAAGGAUUCCCCUAGUAACGGCGAGUGAACCGGGAAAAGCUCAAAUUUGAAAUCUGGCUGUCUUCGAUAGUCCGAGUUGUAAUCUAUAGAAGCGUUUUCCGUGCUGAACUGUGUCUAAGUCCCUUGGAACAGGGUAUCAAAGAGGGUGAUAAUCCCGUACUUGACACAACCAUCAGUGCUCUGUGAUACGUUCUCUACGAGUCGAGUUGUUUGGGAAUGCAGCUCAAAAUGGGUGGUAAAUUCCAUCUAAAGCUAAAUAUUGGCGAGAGACCGAUAGCGAACAAGUACCGUGAGGGAAAGAUGAAAAGCACUUUGGAAAGAGAGUUAAACAGUACGUGAAAUUGUUGAAAGGGAAACGAUUGAAGUCAGUCGUGUUCAUUGGAUUCAGCUAGUUCUUCUAGUCUACUUCCUUUGAACGGGUCAACAUCAGUUUUGUCCGGUGGAUAAAGGAUUUAGGAAUGUGACUCCCUCGGGAGUGUUAUAGCCUAGGUUCACAUACACUGGGUGAGACUGAGGACUGCAGCUCGCCUUUUGGCCGGGGUUCGCCCACGUUCGAGCUUAGGAUGUUGACAUAAUGGCUUUAAACGACCCGUCUUGAAACACGGACC